GGACAAGCUAAAAAUUACCAGUUCCUCAGGAAUUACUCAUUCUGCUAGAGAACAAUUGAAGGGAGUCAACAGAGAGUAUGAAGUGGAGGAAAACGGUGUUGGAACAGCAACUGCCCUUUGAAGUGAGCAGAGCUGGGUGUGACACCAGACAGCUGGGCCAGCAUCAGGAUGAUGUUCAUCAGUCUGGAAGAAGGAGAGGGAGAUGCUUGGAGCUCUGGCAGCCAUCUUGAAUCAUCUAGUGGGCAUCAUGGACUAAGGAUGGCAGAGCAAGAAGACAGAAAACGCCUCAGCUUCUGAAGGCUACUCUAUCUACUCCCAGCUUUGUGUUACAUAUUGUAUUUAUUUAUUCAUGAGACAAACUUCUAUCUUUUUGAGACAUUGUUAUUUGAAUUUCCUGUCACUUGCAGUGAAACCUGAUUCUAAUACAUCCCUCUGCUCGUAAGGUUGGUUGGACAAUUUAGUCAGGUUAAAGCAACAACUUAAUUUAAACUAUUCUUCCAACAGACACAGUAUAUAAACUUGCAAAGGCUGAUUAAAUUUCACUAGGGCAGAUCUUUAUAAAAAGAAUAAGCAACAUAUGUAAAUAUCACAUCCGAAUUUAAAUACAGUAUUUAACUGCCCUAGAUUUCACAAUGUAUUCAUAGCCUUAAGAGGGGAUAA